rnacentral:rRNA from 1 species
UUGAAAAGAACUUUGAAGAGAGAGUUCAAGAGUACGUGCAUUCGUUCAGGGGUAAACCUAAGAAACCCAAAAGAUCGAACGGGGAGAUUCAUCGUCAGCGACGCUGGCUUCGCGUCGGUGGGCGAUGCCACGCGGGGCCUCGCGGCUCGCGCGCGGGCACGCUACCGUGCGUCGACGUCCGGCGUUCGUCGUCGUGCACUUCUCCCCUAGUAGAACGUCGCGACCCGCUGGGUGUCGGUCUACGGCCCGGGUGCGGUGGCUGACGCGUCGCCGGUAAAACGGCACGCGUCAAACCCCCGGUCGCCCGGCCGGCUGCCCGGCGGUACACGCAAGGUAUCAGGCCGCAGCUCUCGAUCUAAAACUCCCGAGCCUGUGCGUCGAGGCCGUCGCAAGCGCGCGCCACGGUACACGGAGGUUCACGGACCUGGCGCCGUCACCGGUCCUGGCCCGCUGCUGGCUCGUACGGUUAACCUUCGACAGGCCCGCAAACGCGUCCCCCGUCGCCGCGCGCGGGCCCUCGGGUCCGCGCGUCGGCGCGCGCGGGGACCGCGAUACCGGUCGGCGACGCUACUGCUUUGGGUACUCUUAGGACCCGUCUUGAAACACGGACCAAGGAGUCUAACAUGUACGCGAGUCAUUGGGACUUGACUGUAUACCUAAAGGCGCAAUGAAAGUGAAGGUCGGCCCUGGUUGUCGACCGAGGGAGGAUGGGCCGCGUCGCGACGCGGCUCCGCACUCCCGGGGCGUCUCGUUCUCAUCGCGAGAAGAGGCGCACCCAGAGCGUACACGUUGGGACCCGAAAGAUGGUGAACUAUGCCUGGUCAGGACGAAGUCAGGGGAAACCCUGAUGGAGGUCCGUAGCGAUUCUGACGUGCAAAUCGAUCGUCGGAACUGGGUAUAGGGGCGAAAGACUAAUCGAACCAUCUAGUAGCUGGUUCCCUCCGAAGUUUCCCUCAGGAUAGCUGGCACUCGACCGUUCCCGCACGGAACGCGAGCGAGUCUCAUCUGGUAAAGCGAAUGAUUAGAGGCCUUGGGGCCGAAACGACCUCAACCUAUUCUCAAACUUUAAAUGGGUGAGAUCUCUGGCUUUCUUGAACUGUGAAGCCACGAGCAUCUCGGAUCAGAGUGCCAAGUGGGCCAUUUUUGGUAAGCAGAACUGGCGCUGUGGGAUGAACCAAACGCAGAGUUAAGGCGCCCAACUCGACGCUCAUGGGACACCAUGAAAGGCGUUGGUUGCUUAAGACAGCAGGACGGUGGCCAUGGAAGUCGGAAUCCGCUAAGGAGUGUGUAACAACUCACCUGCCGAAGCAACUAGCCCUGAAAAUGGAUGGCGCUGAAGCGUCGAGCCUAUACUCUGCCGUCAGCGGCAAGUGGGGCGGGGCCGCGUGUCACGCGAGGCGCGCGAGCGUCUCCGCGUGCGCGCGAGCGCCGUCACGAGGCCCUGACGAGUAGGAGGGUCGCGGCGGUGUGCGCAGAAGGGUCU